UCCCUGGCAGUCCAGUGGUUAGGACUCAGCACUUUCACUGCUGAGGGCCUGGGUUCAACCCCUAGCUGGGGAA